GAUGAACGCUGGCGGCGUGCCUAAUACAUGCAAGUCGAGCGAACAGACGAGGAUCUUGCUCCGCUGACGUGAGCGGCGGAGGGGGGAGUAACACGUGUAUAACCUACCUAUAAGACGGGGAUAACUUCGGGAAACCGGAUCUUAUCCGGUAGAAUAUAUUGAAGCGCAUGGUGCGAUGGUGAAAGUCGGUUGUUCGGUCUCUUAUAGAUGGAUACGCGCCGCAUUAGCUAGUUGGUAAUGUAACGGCUUACCAAGGCGAGGAUGCGUAGACGACCUGAGAGGGUGAUCGGCCAGCUGGGAGGUGAGACAGGGUCCAGACUCCUACGGGAGGCAGCAGUCGGGAAUCGUACGCAAUGGGGGAGAGCAUGACGGAGCAACGCGGCGUGAGUGAUGACGGUCUUCGGAUCGUAAAACUCUGUUAUUAGUGAAGAACAAAUGUGUAAGUAGCUAUGCAGGUAUUGACGGUACCUAAUAAGAAAGCAACGGCUAACUACGUG
rnacentral:rRNA from 1 species